CCGGAGCAGGACAUCUCGGACGGGUUCGGGUAAAGGCUCCAGCCCGGUGCCUCUGGCUGGAGAGAAAUGUGUCUUCUCCACCAAAGGCAGCCUUGAGUCCACAAAGACGGGGAGCUGCAGCUCUGCUGGACAGACAGACCUGCCCGGGUGGACACUUCAUAGGGAAUCUGAUGCAAUCCAGAGCUGGAAUUAAACAAAGCAGAAGCAGAGGACAAACCAGCCUCGACAUCACGACACGACUAUUUUGGUCUUGGACAGAGAAAGUAUUCUUGCAGCUCGACUCUUCAGCUCAGCACGUCGCCUCUUUCUUGUUAUUUUCUAGAACAGACUGCCCGUCUUCAUCUUCAGUUUCUGAUCAGCUUGUAUCCAAACUUUCUCGGCUUCCUCGACCGGUCCAGCUGCAGAGAUCUGAAGUCGGUUGGGGCGUUUUCUGCAAGAUUCUCUCAGUCACGUUUAAAUACAGGCCAGUAAAAGUGAUUUUCUAAUACUUUACUGCACUGGCUCUCAAACAGAAACAUGUAAUACCAUCAGUGCUACAAGGAUUUGAAUGAAAAUACUUCUAUGAGAUCCUGAAAUAUCUUGUUUUAAUAUCAUCCUGCUGCAUAGUCACAUCCCGUUCAUGCAGGUAGCGUGUAGUGUGCAUACAUCCAUGAUUAGUUACCACCAGCACUACUCUUUUUCCACCCAAGUAGCUCUGGUUCUGUUCAACAACGGUAAAUAAAUAUUCUUCCUAUCAGAAAUAAACCUUUCUGCUGCAUGAACUGUCUAUAGGUGAACAGGGUUGGCCUACUGUAUUUAUGCAUCUGUUAUGCUGGUGGUACUGAAUAUAUUCUAAGGAGGUACGGGAUGUAAAAAGUUUUGAGAAACACUGUUUUACUGCAUUUGUUUAAGCUUUCUUAAGUAACCUGAGACAUUUGGCUGUGCUUUCUUUCUGAGUUCCUGCACAUUGUUCUGUACACAGCACUUUGUUUUUUAUU